AGUGAACGCUGGCGGCAGGCCUAACACAUGCAAGUCGAACGGCAGCACAGUAAGAGCUCGCUUUUACGGGUGGCGACUGGCGGAUGGGUGAGGAAUACAUCGGAAUCCACUUUUUCGUGGGGGAUAACGUAGGGCAACAUACGCUAAUACCGCAUAUGAUCAACGGGUGAAAGCAGGGGAUCUUCGGACCUUGCGUGAUUCUAUGAGCUGAUGUCGGAUUAGCUAGUUGGCGGGGUAAAGGCCCACCAAGGCGACGAUCCGUAGCUGGUCUGAGAGGAUGAUCAGCCACACUGGAACUGAGACACGGUCCAGACUCCUACGGGAGGCAGCAGUGGGGAAUAUUGGACAAUGGGCGCAAGCCUGAUCCAGCCAUGCCGCGUGGGUGAAGAAGGUCUUCGGAUUGUAAAGCCCUUUUAUUGGGGAAGAAAAGCAGCAGGUUAAUACCCCGCUGUUCUGACGGUACCCAAAGAAUAAGCACCGGCUAACUUCGUG
rnacentral:rRNA from 1 species